UACAGAGGGGGCAAGCGUUAUUCGGAAUUACUGGGCGUAAAGCGUGCGCAGGCGGUUGUGCAAGACAGAUGUGAAAUCCCCGGGCUUAACCUGGGAACUGCAUUUGUGACUGCACGGCUAGAGUGUGUCAGAGGGGGGUAGAAUUCCACGUGUAGCAGUGAAAUGCGUAGAUAUGUGGAGGAAUACCGAUGGCGAAGGCAGCCCCCUGGGAUAACACUGACGCUCAUGCACGAAAGCGUGGGGAGCAAACAGG
rnacentral:rRNA from 1 species